ACUGGAGUAUACCAAGGUCUUCUACCGACGAUGUUGAAGCAAGGAACCAAUCAAAUGAUCAGAUUUUUCGUGUAUUCGAAUUUAAAGUCAUGGCUACAAGAAGGAGAUAAUUCAAAAGAUAUUGGCGCAGUUCGUACCUUCCUGAUUGGUGGUGUAGCUGGAGCUGCAAGUGUGUUUGGGAAUACUCCGGUUGAUGUUGUGAAAACCAGAAUGCAGG
rnacentral:lncRNA from 1 species